GGAAGAGUGGCCGAGUGGUCGAAGGCGACGGUCUUGAAAACCGUAGACCUGCAAGGGUCCGUGGGUUCGAAUCCUACCUCUUCCG
rnacentral:tRNA from 1 species